GGGAGGGGAGGGGUGUUAUUAUUAUUGAUAGGUAUGUUUAUUAAUUUGUUGAAUGUUAAUAUAAAAGUUAGUUUUUGGUUGUUGAAGGGAAAUGUAUGAUUUGGUAUUAAAAGAAGGUAUGUGGUAUGAAAUUGUAUUUUUUGAAGGAAAAUGAUGUUGUUUUUUUUUUUAGGUGGUAGUUUUAGGAUGGGAGAAGUAAAGGAAUGGGUAUAGAAUGGGAUUAGGAGGUUGUAGGGAAUGUGGAUUUUUAGAAAAGAGUGUUGUGUUUAGUAUAAGGUUUUUUGAGAGGUUGAAUUGUUUUUGUUAAUGGAUUUUAAGUUUUUUUAUUUUUUUUGUGAUUUUUUUUAGGUUGAUUUAGAAGAGAAAUUUUUUGUUAGUUUUGGUUAAGUGGAGAAGUAUUGUUUUAUGGUGAUUUGUGUGAUUUUAUUUGAUUGUUUUAAAUUUUUUUGAUAUUUAUGUAUUGUU
rnacentral:misc_RNA from 1 species